UAUGUUAGAGUUUAAUUCAUUAAAUAAAAUUAGUUUAGGGGGUUUUUCGUUAAAUACUUAGUUUGGUAAUUUUUACCCAAAACAAACUUAGUUGAGUGGUUUUAACUUUAAAAUUUAUUAUUCUUUCCUUAUUAUUUAUUAUUGAAAUCCUUAUAGUGGGAUUUGUUUUAUCAAAAACCAGUUGCAAUCAACUGAUGAGAUAUCUUCUUUCUAAUAUCAUGCAUUUAAUAUUUAAAUAUAUAUAUAUAUAGCAAGAUUUGAGUUACCAAAAUUAUGUAUAUAUUAUAACCAUAAUAUCUUUAAAAAUUUAUUAGAAGAUAUUCUAUCUCAUAGCUGAAUUAAAAUUUAUUAUAAGAUAUUCUAUCUCAUAGCUGAAUUAAAAUUUAUUAGAAGAUAUUCUAUCUCAUAGCUGAAUUAAAAUUUAUUAUAAGAUAUUCUAUCUCAUAGCUGAACUAAAAUUUAUUAUAAGAUAUUAUAUCUCAUAGUUUCUCUUGAAAACUAGGUCAUUUAGAAACUUAAACUAAUUUGCUAUAUAAAUAUCACGCCACCCCCCGUUAGUUUUACGCAUCUAUCUUUUAAGUUUUCAUAUGUUUUUGAUCGUUCUAAUUUAUAUUCUACUUUGUGAUCUUGCACAGGUGUAUGAUAGUCAAUAAGUAACUCAUAGACGGAAACACCAUUACUGGUAAUUUUAUGGGGGAUUCUUCUUUUCCGUUUAUUUUUGUUCUCUUGCACAGGUGUAUGAUAAUCAAUAAGUAGUGAUUCAACUAACAAAAAGAGACGACUUUGUUUAUCCAGGAACUGAUCAUCCAUUUCGAAAAAGGUAAUUCUUCUUUUUUUUUAUAAAAUUAAAUCACUUAUCAAGAAUAUAAUAUAAGAUGUGUAUGCUAAUCAAGUGCAAUUUAUUUAUUGUGUGUGAUCCUUUUUGGUACGUCUGAGAGCCAAAGGUAAUCUCAAAUCUUUUUAAAAACUUUUAAACUCAUUGACGUUGUCCUAUCAAUUAUAUAAUUUGUUAUCUUUUGGGGAUUGUUUGCAUUUUUAAAUAUUUUUGUUAGAAUUACCUCUUUUCUUACUCAAGGCUUAGAGAAGGAAACCGUAAAUCAUCUAUGCUGUUACAAUGAAACCAAUGAUAAUAAAUCUCAGGUAAUUCAAAUCUCUCUUUUAUAUUUCGUGGCUGAUUUUUUUAUUGCGGUGAUGCGUGAAAUAUUUUUUUUUCUCAAUUAUAUUUUUCUGAUGUUUUAAAAUUAGUGUUAGAUGUGAUCGUUUUGUAAACGUUCUAAUGUAUUUUUUGUUCAUAUGAACAUAGUAUAAAUAUCAAUAUGUAAUAUCGAAUCUUUCAUAUUAACCAUAUACAUAUAACAUAAGUAUUAUAUAGUUGUAAAUAUGUAAUUAUCAAUUUAAUAUUAAUGUUAAUGUCCGCACAUGCGUGCGGGCGGUCCACCUAGUAAUUCUUACAUUAUUUAAAUAUAUUUAAUAAUAUAUAUUUAAAACUAUUUUCUAGAAUUUUGUUCAAACGUUAAAUCUAAAAUGAAAAAUAAUUUGACAUACAAAAUAAAUUGUAAUCUAUAUAAUAGAGAAAAAUAUAGCAUAUUGUUUUCUGAGAAACAAAUGUACUUACAAAUAUAGAUGUACUAAUAUAUAUAUAAUCAACUAAAUGACACUAUUUUCAUUUUUAUUACUUUGAAAUAUAUAUAUGUUCACACAAAUUAAAGAAAAAAUUAAUUUUCUAUUUAUCUAACCAAAAACAUCAUAAACUAUUCACCCAAUCAUAAUUCAACCAAAAAAAAGCUAACUAGAGAAUAUAAAAAGAAAAAAAUUAAUAAACUUGCAUUGAAAAUUGAAAAUGUCAUCUAAUUUGAAGUGAAAAGAAUUCUCUAAAACUUUAUAUAUUAAAAACAAAGUGAAUAU